CAACCACCCGAGAUGUUUUAGAACUAUUUGCAAGAAAAUCUAGAGGCAUACCAUAUCCCCACCAAUUGGGAGGAACUUGACAAUUCUGAAACACAGACUCUGACAUUGCCGAUGCCGAUAGAUCUGUAUUGAGUUGAAUCCGUCCAACUAAUGCUGCUGGAUUGGUCCUCAUCGGUGUAGAUUGCCCAUUAGUUAUCCCUAAUGUGCUUGGGGGAGAAGUAACUUUUGUACCCGCAAUGGCCGGAGGCGCCGAUGGAGCUGUAACCGAUGACAACCCAGGCUGGUGAUAGGCUGGGCCAACAUAUAAAGGUGGUGCCUGCGCUUCCUUGAAAGUUCUAGACACAAAGUUGAAGACAGUAUUGGACAGCACACCGGAUUGAUUGAUUAAAGCACGAUUAAUAGUGUCAUAGAACCGACC
rnacentral:lncRNA from 1 species